rnacentral:misc_RNA from 1 species
GUGAAUCAUCGAAUCUUUGAACGCACAUUGCGCCCGUUAGCAUUCUAGCGGGCAUGCCUGUCCGAGCGUCAUUUCAACCCUCAGGGUCCCCGUUCCGGCGGGGAACCUGGUGUUGGGGAUCGGCCCGCCCCGUGCGGCGCCGUCCCCCAAAUUCAGUGGCGGUCUCGCUGCAGCCUCCCCUGCGUAGUAGUUACAACCUCGCAUCGGAGCUCAGCGCGGCCACGCCGUAAAACCCCCGACUUUCUGAACGUUGACCUCGGAUCAGGUAGGAAUACCCGCUGAACUUAAGCAUAUCAAUAA